AGUGAACGCUGGCGGUAGGCCUAACACAUGCAAGUCGAACGGCAGCACAGUAAGAGCUUGCUCUUACGGAUUGCGAGCGGGGGACGGGUCAGGAAUAUAACCGAAUCUAUUCUUUCGUGUGGCAUCACGUAGGUGAACUUACGCUACUACCGCAUCAGACCUACGAUUGAAAGCGGCGGAACUUCCGACCUUGCGCGAUUGUACGAGCCGUUGUCGGAUUUGUUAGUCGGCGGGGUAAAGACCCACCAAGGCGACGAUCCGUAGAUGGUCGGAGAGAAUGGUCAGCCACACUGGAACUGAAGCACGGUCCAGACUCCUGCGGUAGGCACCAGUGGGGAAUAUUGGACAGUGGGCGCAAGCCUGAUCCAACCAUACCGCGUGGGUGAAGAAGGCCUUCGGGUUGUAAAGCCCUUUUGUUGGGUGUGAACGGCAGCAGGUUAAUACCCCGCUGUUCUGACGGUACCCGAUGAAUAAGCACCGGCUAACUACGUG
rnacentral:rRNA from 1 species